UACGUAGGGUGCAAGCGUUGUCCGGAAUUAUUGGGCGUAAAGGGCGCGUAGGCGGUCAGCACAAGUCAGUUGUGAAAUCUCCGGGCUUAACUCGGAAAGGUCAACUGAUACUGUGCGACUAGAGUGCGGAAGGGGCAACUGGAAUUCUCGGUGUAGCGGUGAAAUGCGUAGAUAUCGGAAGGAACAUCAGUGGCGAAAGCGACUUCCUGGACCGACAUUGACGCUGAUGAGCGAAAGCUAGGGGAGCAAACGGG
rnacentral:rRNA from 1 species